AGUCUCCUGAAGGAACGUUGAAGACGACGACGUUGAUAGGCCGGGUGUGUAAGCGCAGCAAUGCGUUGAGCUAACCGGUACUAAUGAACCGUGAGGCUUAACCUUACAACGCCGAAG
rnacentral:rRNA from 1 species